GUGAACUCGCUCAGUUGUGUCCGACUCUUAGCGACCCCAUGGACUGCAGCCUACCAGGCUCCUCUGUCCAUGGGAUUUUCCAGGCAAGAGUACUGGAGUGGGGUGCCAUUGCCUUGGUAGGUCCUACCAUCCAAGUUCAUUCAGGGCUCCUCUCUGGGAACCAGUUGCUCUGAAUAUUAACAGCAAAGGCCGUUCUAGAGAGGGCUACAAACUCUGGUUUGCCCACAGCACCUGUAGUGUUUAUUUGCAGGUGGUCGCUUUUCAGAUUUGCUGUGUACACAGUCUGUCUCGUGAAAGCACCUGGUAAAGAAAGGAUUCCCUGUGGAAAAUGUGUGUUUACGCAGGUGAUGAGUUGCUAGAAUGCCCCUUUCAGGGUUUACAAACUGAGCAUCUUCUUAAGUUUGCAAAGAAAGUUGAUUUUACCAAAUCGAAGCCUGAGCUUUGUGAAAUUAGUAAUGUCUGCAUACGGUGUGUGUGCCGCUGGGUGAAAUAAGAAAAAUCAAAGUGGCUCGUAUGUGUAUGUAGCCAGUAUGUAUGUGUAACCUUCUGGAUUAAUUAGCCAUUUAGGAGGAAGGCAUUUCUCAUCCCCUUUCCCUCUCUUCCUUUCCCCAAGCCCCCAAAACAAUAGUUUCAAAGUGCAAUAAGAAAAUAAGAGCCAUUAGGCAAAGAAGAGCAGGCAGCCUUGAAAACAGGACUCCUCCUUUUAGGCCCUUUGCAGGUGGGACCUGUCCUCUGCAGUGGUAACAACUCUGUUCGCUUAUCACCUCCACAGAAAGAUAACCUGGGAGGAAAGGGUCUUGGGAACAUUUCAGCAAGUGUUAUUAUAUUCCUACCUCUGCAAAGAUUUAUUAAAAUGUCCUUUGUGGAUAAGGAGACAGUAGGAGACAGUAUUUCAAAGUGGACCUUUUUUUUUCUUUUUACUUCUUUUUCCUCAUGUAUAAUAACAACAAAUAUUAAUCGGUUUCCUCCAUGUGCCAACGUGUGUCAGACAUAACGUGUAUUUGACCUGAGCAAACAUAAAAGACUCUACUAAAAAGACUUUACAUACAAGACUUUACUAAAUUGUGGAGACUUCAUCAGGAGUGCUAACAAAAGAUUUAGCGAGAGACUGAA